CUAGGAGCUUGGGAUGGCAGUGGGGGAGCUUCCUUCCAGGCAUUAUCCUAAUGGGUGUGGAUGGUAUACUACUAUGGUUUUGAUUUGGAUUUCCCUAGUGACUAAUGUUAUUGAGCACCUGGUCAUACACUUAUUGGCUGGCCAUAGAAUAGAUAGAUGAAGAAAGUGAAAGCUCGGAGAGGCGAAGUGCUUGAUGUCACAUGGUUAGGGAGCUACUGAAAUUCAGCUAAGCAAAUAAUUGAUUAAAAGAAGAUCGAACUCGGGUCCUUGCACUUGUGCAACCACUGAGCUAAAUCCCAGGCCCUUGCUGAUCUUAUAAAGGAGAGAAAUGUGGACACAGGAGAUCCAGAAGAUGUGGCAGGAUCCAAGGAAUGCCAAAGAUUGCCAGCAAAACAGCAGAAGUUAGGAAAAGGCCAUGGGACAGAUUCUCUUGCACAUCCUCAAAAGGAACCAACCCCACUAACACCUUGAUCUUGGACUUCUGGCCUCCUGACAUGUGAGAUGGCAAACUACUUAGUUUGUGGUACUCUGUUACAGUAGUCCAGCAAACUAAUACAGAUAAUGUAAGCAAAUACAGUCUGUGAAUCUGAUGACACUACCGAAAAUGUAUGAUUACUGCUUUAUUGUUUGUGAAGAUGUUGUUGAACCGGUUAGUGGAAAAUAAUCACAAAUGUUGACAUGUCUGUAAUGUACAAAAUGGUAUCAUCCAGGAGAACUGCUUGAGGUAUUCCACACAGAAAGGAGUUACUAGAAGGAACUUGAUGUUUGUAGAAUAUUUGAAAGGAGUAGAAGAGAAAAGUCAGGAAAAACUGUGGAUGGUUUCAGGAAAUUAAGGAGUUAUGAAAAUUAUAAAUAAAUCCUCAUCACCAAUGAUCUCAGCUACCAGAAACAUGAAAUAGAUGCAAAACUCACAGGAAGACAGAGGGAAGCCUUUGUAAAACCUCCUGCCUGCCUCCUGCCCGCCAACACGAGAGGACCAAUAAUAACUUGUUGCUCUUCCACCUUCCAGAUCUCACAAGAACAUCUCUAACUGGUGGACUCAAAACCAGGUAACAAGGGAAUCUGAGAAACGUAGACUUGUUUCCAGCUCCCUAUAUUGCAAGAACUCAAAAGGGCUGGAAUAGUUCUUCAGGCUAACAGAGAGUAUCCAGCACAAAGUAUAUUUGAAAAUCACAAAAACAAACUCAAAAUCUCUUUGAGGUUUUUUUUUGGUACUAGGGGUAGAACUCAGGUCCUUGUGCUUGAGCAGCCAGCAGCGAAACCACUGAGCUAAAUCCAUGGCUCUCUUUGAGGUUCCAAGGAGACAAUAUUUGUGAAUUUUCUUUGAAAAAUAAGAUGUGCUAUGUAAACUCAAUAUAUUUUAUAGCUAGAGAGGGUUCAUUAUCAUAGAUAGGACAUUUCAAUGAAACAAUUUAAAAGAAAAAAAUCUAGAUAACUGAUAAUUAUUUCAAAACUCUUAUUUUAAAUGGGGGAAUAUAUUUGCAUGCACAUGUCAGUGAGUACAUAUUUGCUGUGAUGAGAUUGUAUGCACAGUUUUGUAUUUUCUAUUUGCAUGUAAGCCUCUGUGUGAGGAGGCCUCUGUGUGUGCGUGUGUGUGUGUGCGUGCAUGUGUGUGUGUGUGUGUGUGUGUGUGUAAAUCUGGUGUUAGGCUGGAGAGCCUAAUACAGUCUAUUCUGCCAGAAGGUCUGGUCUAGCCAUUUCUGACGCAUCUUCAGGACCUAGACUGGAUCACCUUAUCUGUCACCUGAUUCCUCUUGCUUUCCUAUUCUAACAGCCACUCUAUAUCCCAAACAUCUUUCUUUUUAUCCCACUGCAUCUGCCUUGGCGAAGGCAUCUUCAUAUCUCACCUGUGGUUGGUGGUUUAGUAUCACCUUUACUUCCAUAUUCAAACCUGCUCUUUGAGAAAAUUCACUUAUUCUACAUAUAAAUGGAACCUCUUUUUCUUAACCUUUCUUGUUCACUAAGUGGAGAGUUGGCUCAGUGGUCAAAUGGUUUCCACAAAGACCCCCGUUAUCACAUUACUGGUGUGUUCAGAAACUUAUAAUUUAUGUCUUAUAAUUAGAUAAGCUGCUAAUCGAGGAGAGGCAUAACAACCUGAUUUGAGUCUUGACAAAGUGACUAGAUCCUUAAUGACGAGGUGGUGAUGAAGCAUCGGGACUCCUUAUCUGCUCUGGUUCCUGUACCUUGUUCUGGAAUGGGAGAGCUCUCAGUUAGAGAGUCUGUCUUUUACUUGAUAAAGCUUUGUGAAUAAACCUGGAGAUGAACUCGCAGGAAAGGAAUUCAUCCUCCCUGAGCUGGAGGAAGUCAUUAUGAUUUUGAGGCAGCAUCUAAAUUUUUUCAAAUCGUCAGAAAAGCAAUUUCAGUCCACACUGCUGCAGGAGUCUUGCUUCUUCCUUUUCUCCUUUCCUCCCUUUCUAUUAUAUACUUAAUCAUAAACAAGCUGAAUGAGGUUGAUGCAUUGGACAUGAUCCUCGUAAUGUUUGAUGCUCAGAGCUUGGUAUAGAGUUGACAGUAGAUUUUGUCAUGAUGUGAACAUGCCAAGGACUAUGCUGACACUGAAACAAAGGUGAGUCAGACCUGAACAGAUGCUGCCCUGGAGGAGAACAGAGGUAAGGAAACGAACACUUAAGUGCAGCAAGGUAAGAGCAGUGUGAGAAGUAAAUGUACAUGAUAAGGGAGCCAAGAGAAGUGGAAUCUGACUCUCCUGCGAACAGCAAAUAUUUCUUGGAAGGAGAGAAUAUACUAAGAUGAAUGUAAAGGAUACAGGCAUUUCCCUGGUGGAAAUUAGAAGAAGGAAUUCUUGGCAGAGAGGACAGCAUGGGUAGAGACGUGAAGGAGGCAUAAAAGACCAGGAUGUAUUUAGGGAAUUUCAAACUGCUGUGGCUUUAACACAGAGGACGAAGAGGCUAAUGAUGGAAUGUAAAUUUGGAGAGGGUGCUGGAGACAGGGCUGCUGGGGAUGACUUGUGAUUUACUUUGUGUGGGAGCAGCACUGAGGAAGGGAGUAAGGCUAAAAUAUAGCUUUGUUCUACUCUACCAGUGCACAAACUUGUGGCUACAACCUCCUUAGAAGAGGCUCUGUUUGUAACACACAAGGGCUCUUAUAGGAUAGCAUUGUCUCUGUGGGGAGCCUUGCAGAUCUUGCUAAGGUUGUGACUCUAUCUAGGCUGUUUCUCAAAUUUGGUUCAACAUCACUUGGAGAGCUGAUUAAAACAAAUUGCCGGCCAUAGCUUUGGGGUUUCUGGCUGUGAGUCUGGGGCAAGGCUUGGGAAUUUUUAUUUCUUUUAUGUUCUCAAGUGAUGCUGAUGCUACUGGUUUGGGGACCCACUCUGAGAAUCACUCAUCUGGGUAGUAGGAAGCCACUGGAAAGGGUUAGGUAGGAGAAGAAGAGCCAAGGGUCCGUUUUCUGCAUUCGAGUUUCUGAUAUCCUUAUGAACUAGUUAGGACAACUAGAUGUAUUAUGAAGAGUGGAUAUACAAUAUGUCCACCUUCCCCUUCCAACUGAAGGUCAUUAGCUGUGUUUACUUGAGUAGGGGUUCUGUUUAGGUCUUCUGUUUAGGAAGGAUUUGCUGUAGAUGAUUUAAGGACUGACCCCGUAGAGCUUUUACAUAGUGAGCUCCCAAAUGGUUUAAAAGUUUGUUUACUUUAUUAAUGACUCUCCAGAGAAAGCUGAAGCUACCAACUAAAAGAUGAGUCAUACAUGGUGAUAAAGCUUCUUUGAAAACUUUUGUUUAAUGAAUUCUUGACUUCAGAAUUAGAAUGCAUGUCCAUACAUGCAUGUGAGCAUAUUUGAUGAGAAGAAAGGAGAAGGAAAGACAAGGAGCCACGGGGUGUCAGAAUCUCACCCAUAUUAGUAAAUGUUUGCUGGAUGAAGAUGUGAGCAUUGAGCAUUAAACAUGCUAAUGGGGGAACCACCAUACCCUGUCAGGAAGUUGUUGGGUUGUGUCUGGCUCUGGGCUAGGAUUUGGAACUUUGGCCGGGAAGCCAAACCUUCCUCUAGUCCAGUCCUCAUUUGUGGUCCCAGAGAAUACUAAUCAGAUGUUUUCGUGCACACACAGAGAGAUUGGCUGUACCACUCUGUCCCUUGGGGUCUCAGGCCCACCUUGCCUUGAGGUUGGGGGCUGGAGCUCAGAGGUGUAGGAGCGCAGGGAGUCCAUCUUUAUUCUCUAGUCAGGAUAUAGUUUCCAGGAUGAACCAGUUUUGAGAUAGGGGUAGGGAGAGUGCACACUGGAAGAGCAUCCAACUUGAUUAUCUUUUGUCUCUUUCCAAGCUUGGCCCAGGCUUUCCUGAAAGCUCAAGGCAGGACAGGUGCGGGCGAUCUCUGUUACUCAGUGAUUUAGGGUGCCCAUUAGGGAGCCUCAUGCUGGCUGAAGGGCUGCCAGCCUCAACUAGCUCAGCUAUUACCAAACUGAGCCUGUCAGCAGUGUUAAUGGGAGAAGGAAAGUCUUGUCAGAGGCGGCUGGGUUCUAACUCUAGGUGUCAAGGAGAAAAGGAGAGAGGAGGGGAGGGAGUCCGUUCAGAAGCUACAAUCAAGAUUGGGUUGUUCUUAAUUAAGACAGCUCCAGGUAGCACAUUUUCAUAAUUUCCCAUUAAAGAGGUCCUGAUGUAUGAAUCACUGUGGGAGCUGUAAUCCCCAGAGUUAGCAUUGUUCUGUGUCUGAGACUCCUCAAAUAAAAAAACCCAUCCAUUUCAAUCACCAAUGCUUUAUGAGCACCUGAGAUGUUCCCUGUUCUAUGGCAGAUGCUAUGCUCAGCCUUGGAAGGGGCACAGCAAUGGAUAAGGCUGAGGUCCCUGCUGGCCAGGGCCAAAGCCUUGCUAGACCCUGACCUUGGGGGAGGAGCAUGGACCAGGUGCAUUUCUGUUCCAUGUGGGCUCUGGUGCUGAUGACUGGGAGGCAGAGUAGGGAAGAUGAAAGCAUGCCAGAUUUGGAAGCAGGAGGCCUGAGUUUCAUUCCCUUAGCACAUCUCUGUUAGGCCCUCUUGGUUUAGGGGUUUGGGAUUCAAAAAUGAAUACAAGACAGCUGGUGCCUUCAAGAGGCUGUAAGGGCCAGGAGAAACCCUAAAUCAAAAAUUGAGUUCACUAUGAUAAAUGUUAGAACAGUCGAGUAUGGAGCCCUCUGGGAAUGCUGAGGGCAGAGAGACUAAUUCUGCCUGGCAGAGGUGAGGUGGUAAAGAAGGUCCAAUUCUUGGCUUCCUUGAUUAUUGUGGUAUCGUCUUAGGGGUUAUAUGACAUUUAAUGGGCCUCAGUAUCAUCAUAUGCAAAGUGGAUAAUAUAAUCCACUUUCAGGACUCACCUGAAGAUUUAUGAGAGGAUGCAUAUGAAGGCUUUGGUGGAAUCUGCCUUUUCUUCUUGUGUCUCCCCAAGCGUCUCUCCUGACUUUUCGUUAGUGUGAACAUUUCACAUGUCGGUGUGAACUGUGAGGCUGUCCCCAGAUGUUGUCCAGCAGUCUUGGGCUUCAUAGACCACACUGGUCCUAGGAGAUGUUCUCUUCCUUCUCAGCCUGGUCACUGAGACCGGGAGGCAUGAUCCGGAGCUGGCAAGACAGUGUAAAGUAAUUGUCAUUCUUUGGAACAAGACAUGGAAUUAUGUUACAUGAUUUUGAAAUAUUUUCAUGCUAAAUAUAUCUCAGUGCAUGUAUUUAGGUUUGGCAUCCCCAGUAACCUUAAGAUGUCAAACUUUGCAUUUUAUAGGUGAAAUGGUUGAGUCUUGGAUAUUCUAAGUUACCUGAGGUCACAUAGGAAUUACACUUUGCAGAGCUAAAAUUAAAAGUAGUAUCUGUGGAGCUUGGAAGGGGUAAGAUAUUUCCGUGAAAUCAUGCUGCGUUUCACAUGUAAUUCCAUGAUGUAAGUAGUGAUAUUUCCCCACCACUGAUUUGCUCAUUACUGACCUCAUUUUGACUUCAUAACUAGUUUAAAAAAAUGUUGCACAUUGCAUGUUCAGUUUGAUUCUUGGUUCCAGCAAGAAGGCAGGUUAAGGGCCAGGGAUUUAGCUCAGUGACAUCAAGCCUGCCUGGCAAGUGCAAGAUCCUGAGUUUGAUCCCCGAUAUCAGAAAAAAAAAAAGAAGAAGGCAGGUUAAGAACGCACAAAACUUCCUGCAUAAAAAAACACCUAGAAAUGCUGGAUAAGAUAUAACAAUAACAACUCAAAACAAGUUGCUGAAUUUUCAAGAAAAAGAGAAAUCCCUAGAGACCUAAAGUAAAGAGGGAAUUGGAGAAAAGCUGUAACUACAGAGCUGAGGGUGUAGUUGGGAUGUUUGUGUAUGUGACUGGUCCUGUUAAUUUAAGAGCUUAGAUUGUAACAUCACAGUGGGGUGAGAGAGGAAAUUCUUGAGCUUGUUUAAGGGAGAAUAUUAGACAUGAGUCUUUGAGUCCUUGAUAUGAAACAAUAUGAAAACUCACAAUAAAAAUUAAAAAAUAAAUGAAGUCAGGAGUUGUAGUAAAAAAGUUAAAUAGAUAUCUAAGCAUUUAGGAUGCUAAAUAUGACUAUGAAAGAGAAUAAGUAAGAAUUUAAAAAAUCAUCAGAAUAUAAGAAAAGUUCAAAUAAAUUAAAAGUAUAAUUUCCAGAAUUAAAUUUUAGUUAUUGGAAAUUAAAAAGUUACUGGAUUCUAAGCAGUAAAUUAAAUAUAGCUGAGGAAUAAAUAAGUGAAGUAGAUGUACGAUUUAAGAAAAUUUCUGAAAAGCAGAGAGACAAAGAUAAGAAAAAAAUGUGUGUGUUCCAUAAACAUAAGCAUUUCAUGUAAAUAUAUUUAUGUGUGUGUAUGUAGAUAGAUAUAUAGUUACAUGGUUCUAGAUACAUAGAAUAAAAAGAUUUGGACAUAGGCAAGUUUUUAAAAGAUAUAGAGAAAUUAGCUGACAAUUUUUCAGAAUGGAUAAAAGGUAAGGAAUAGCAGGUUCAGAAAUAGAAUGAAUUCUUAGAAUUAUUUAAAUAAAGCCUCCUAUUAGAGGGUUUACAGAGCUCCAAGAACAAAGAAGAUAAUCAUAACAACAACAAAAGAGAAAAGAAUAAUAAUAUAAAAGAAUAAUAAUUAGAUUAGACUGACAGCAGUCUUCUUAACUGCAACAAUAGAUUUUAGAAGAUAAUGAAACACUAUUGCCGAGCACUGAGGCAAAAUAACUGUCAAUUGAGCAUUCCUUCCCAUUAUUAUUUGAGAGCAAGGAUUAGGUCAGGGCAUUUUUAGGUGAAGACUGCAUAAAUUAUAACCAAUUGGUCCUUCCUUAAAGAACUAGUCAAGAAUACUUCAAAAAAGAAUGAGACCUGAAGAAGAAAACUUAAAAGAGACUGGAUGUAGAAAAAUGACAAUGAAAAAAUAUCAUUUCAUCUUUGUGUGUAUACAAAAGACAUAUCCUUGUUUGCUGAAAUCAGAAUAAUAAUGGGUAGUCCUAGGGUACACAAACAGUACUGGACAAUGAAAUAUGAAUGAGGAGAGAAAGAGAAAUUAAGAUGUAUUGUCAUUAGGAAGGAUAGAAAAAUACAUAUCGGGUUUAGAUACUGUUAAAAUAAUAUGCAUGUUCAUAAAAAGUAAGAGUAAACACUAGGAGAACAGACAUUGAUCUCAUUUUUCUUUGUUGCUGGGACAAAACUUAAGAGAGGAGAGGUUUAUUUUGGCUCACAUUUCGGUCCAUAGUAGGCUGUCUCCAAGGCAGGACAGCACGGCAGGGGGCGUGGUGAAGGAGAGCUGCUCAUGGCAUGGGAGACAGGAAGAAGAGAGAAUCAAGAGAGGAGCCAGGAAGGGAGAUGAACUUCCAGGUCAUACGCACAGUGACCCCCAUCUUCUGACCAGACCCCACCUCCCAACACUAAGUUAGCUGUAGCACCCUAUAACCAGCUACCUUCCACAAGCCCCCCUUAUGAGAUCAUGAGGCUCUUGGGGGUCAUCUAGAUAUAAACCAUAACAGAUAGUAUGCCUUACAAAGCAGCAAGGGUAGGAAGAGGGGAACAAGCAAAAUUCACUGUGGUGGAAGGCAGGAGGGAAAAUAACAUGAAGAAAAAUUAGGGUAAGCAGAAAGCAUAAAAUAAUGCAGAAGAAACAAAUUUAAAUAUAUCAGUAAAUUAAAUCAUUAAUAGACCAAACCCACCACUUACGAGAUGAUGGCUAUCAGACAGGCUACAAAGCAAAACCCUGUUUAGGAGAGUUGUUUCUAAAACAUAGGAACUGAGAAUGGUAACAAGUAAAGGAAAUGAAAAUAGAACUUAAAAAUGAAAAGGAAAAAAUAUAUAAUAAAAAC